rnacentral:tRNA from 1 species
AUUUUCUUAAGUUAAUUUUAAACUUCAGGUCUUCAAAACCUAAUAUGAUCUCAUAUUGUCAGAAAAUG